rnacentral:rRNA from 1 species
GUCUAUGUUAAGAAAUACAUAGUCUAACCUGCUCACUGAGUUGAGAGACUUUAAGAGCCGCGGUAUUUUGACCGUGCAAAGGUAGCAUAAUCAUUAGUUUUUUAAUUGGAAACUUGUAUGAAUGGUUGGACAAAAGAAAUUCUGUCUCUAUUAUUAAAAUUUGAAUUUAACUUUUAAGUGAAAAGGCUUAAAUCUUUCAAGGGGACGAUAAGACCCUAUAAAGCUUUAUAAAUAGCUAGAUAUUUUUUAAAUUAUAAAAUAAAAGGAAAUUCUGGAAGUUUAUUAUGUUGGGGCGACACAGAUAUAAUUUUAAAUAACUAUCAGGGAAAAAACCAAUAAUAUUUGAAUUUUAUGAUCCUAACUAAAGAUUAUAAGACCAAGUUACUUUAGGGAUAACAGCGUUAUUCUUUUUGAGAGUUCGUAUCGAAAAAAGAGUUUGCGACCUCGAUGUUGAAUUAAAAAAUCUCUAUAGUGCAGCAGCUAUAGGAAGAAGGUCUGUUCGACCUUUAAAUUUUUACAUGAUUUGAGUUCAAACCGGUGUAAG